AUCGCUUCCCGGCCUUUUGGCUAAGAUCAAGUGUAGUAUCUGUUCUUAUCAGUUUCAUAUCUGAUACGUCCUCUAUCUGAGGACAAUAUAUUAAAUGGAUUUUUGGAGCAGGGAGAUGGAAUAGGAGCUUGCUCCGUCCACUCCACGCAUCGACCUGGUAUUGCAGUACUUCCAGGAACGGUGCUCCCUCC
rnacentral:snRNA from 1 species